UCAUUAAAUGGUUUUCUCUUUCAAGUUAGUAUGGAUCGUUUUGGAAUUCUUUAAUUGACAGUAUUAUCAGUAAAAAUAGUAAGUCAAUUCACAAGUGCCUGUCGUUUGCAUAUGCAUGCAUGGCACAUUGUUCACCAAUUUAAUAAAUGAGUUCGAUUGUCUUAUAGAAAAGAGGCAGCUUCUGCUGUCAGGCUCACUUUUUCUCAGAGACAGAUAAGCAGAAUGAAUCUCGUUUUCUCUAUAUUGGGCAAUCUCAAAGUUAGCUUUUAGCUGACUUAUGAAAGUGAAUGUGUACACUGACCCUCUAGAUAAGGUCAAAUAGCAUCAGUUUCCAUCUGAGAGUUUAAAUGUAGAGUUAAAUCGUCUUGAACUUAUAUUUAUAGCCUUUCUUUGACAAGAAACCAAAAUGUUCAUUUCCAUGGGAAACGAAAGAGGAACAAAGCAGUUCUGCUUUUCCACCUCCAUCCUCCAAGUCCUGAGCUUGCCCCAGUGUGAGCCUCCAGCUUCCCAGCUUCUGUAGUCCCUCUUCUGACAGAGGAGGGGGUUCUCCUUGGGUGGAGGGGUGGGUUGGGAAUGAGAAAGCUUUCCGUUUCUGUAACUGCACUGAGUUAUACAGCUUAUGUUUUACUCAAUAGGACAGCAAAAAGGAGAAAUGAGAGAUGUCAAAGAAAGUUUUCUCUGUGUAUCUCCCUUACCUUUUCUGCCCCUCCUGCACAAAAGGUAACUGUUCAGCUCAGUAAUAGAAAAGAAAGCCCUGAUGCCCUGGGUUGCACAAGUUAAAUGCUUGUGGGCCUGUGUAUAUUCUGGGACCCUUCUAUUACUGGAGAUAAGAAGAUCCGAGCGACAACGAGAGAUGACAGGAAGGCCAGGUUCUCCAUUUUCAGUACCAACCAUUUAUUUGGGUCCAUCCUAUUAUUUUAUAAAAUGCAGAUUUCUAUUUCUAAAGCACAGAACAUUGAAACUUUAGUAUUACCUGAAGAUCUCUUGGUUGUACUUAGGAGUGGGUACUGCAAGCAUGAUAAUCCAAUGUGUAAAAAGGUUUAUUACUAAGGCAGUUGAUGAAAUAAAACCACCAAAAAGUUUCCAAUAUGCAUGUCCAGCUCGUGUAAUAGGAAUAGUUGCAUAGGUUUCUGUCUCCUGAGGUGAUAGUAAUGAUACUUAGUAUUUCAUUAGCUUAAAAGCAGAUGAUUCGAGAAUAUCAUAAUAUCAUACUACUCAAAGCAUUUUGUUUUAUAGCUCCAGAAAUAUGCCAGUAAAUUAAAAAGUAUACUUAAUAUAAUAAAUCCAGAUCUUGGAAGGCUAACAUUUAAAGCAGUAAUACAUCACAGUAGUCCAAGCUUUGGAUUGAUAAUAACGAAUUUAUAAGAAGUGGCUUUUCUUUUUCUCCCUUCCCUACCUCACCUCAUUUUUCCAAGCCCCAGACCCAAGAAGACUUGGCAGCACAGCUGUCUUCAGCUGGGAGAGCGCCAGGAAUCUUGCUUCGUCUUCUAACCAUGACCUGCGAAAAUUCUCCCACAAUGUUCAGCUCUCUUCUCCAUUGGGGAUAUUUUGGUUAAAAGAACUGUGAUAACAUAUACCAAACUUGGUUUACCCAUCUCAAAAGGGCCAAAGAACAACAGAAUAUUUACAUGAAAAUGGUAGUAAAUGUAAUGUAAUCUUUUUUUUCUUUUUGAUCAUCCCUUCAGGAAUCAGAUGCCUGCAGUGGGCUUCUGGAAACAGGAGUUACAAAUGUGAUGAAGCCAUACCACUUACUAGUUAACAGAGAUGUGGUUGAUCAAAUGUUACAUAACAAUGUGAUACACCUUACAACAUUAGAGAAGGAAGAAAGUUAGGUUGCAUAAUUGCUACCGUAUCCAGAAGAAAAGGAAAAACAAACAAAAACCAAGAAACUAAAAACAAAAACCCUGGAAGCCAAGAGUUCUCAUUUUAGCCACAGUAGCCUUAUGGUCCUCGAACAUGGCUGUGGGUAAUGGGUAUGAAAUGGUCACUCUGACUUUGGUAAGAGGAAGGGAUGGUGACUGUUUCUUUUGGAAUUUUUCCCCCAUAGGGGGUGAAAGCCAGUGUCUGCCGUUCCUUUUUGAAUGGAGAUGGGCCCGGAGGGGAAAGGAAGGAUUAGGAAGUCACUCCUGCCAACCCCCAAAACUUCCCAGAUUUUUCCCAGCCACGGGGAUAUAGCAACUUAGUGAGAAAGUAAGAGGUACUUAUGUCUGUGUGAGUGAUAAGUUUUUGAACGGGAAAGCUUAUAAAAACUAGUUUGUGGAGUAUCUAAACAUCUCUGCAAGAAAGGAAAACAUGCUAGAUUUUAAGAAGUAUACGGUAUCGUCAUAUACUUUCAUCUUGAAUUUAGAUUGAAUCUCCACCUGAAAAAUGCAAAACUACAUUUAAGGCAGCAAUGUUUAUAAAUUUGGGUCACUAAUUCUAUUUGUGUUUAAGAGUUCGUUCAUAUUUUGGGGGGGGGAUUGCUAUGUAGUUCUAAGGAAGAGAUUACAUUAGAAAGAAAAAAGUAGCAA